rnacentral:lncRNA from 1 species
AUUAUUUUCCCUACUGUUGAGGCAAAACUCUUCUUAGUAUUCUAACUGAUGCCCCAUGUAUUAUAAAGUUUUCCAUCUUGGGUGUUGUGAUUAAGCAUUGCAUUUGUCCCUUUGUGAACUUUGGACACUAUUCCCCCAAUAAUUUCUACUAGUCUUGGAUAAUUCCCUCACAUAUAUGAGGAAACAACACUCAGCUGAAGACUUGAGAGGGGCCUUCUUUGGUUUUGCAGAGUCCCAUUUCUAUUACUCUCUCUUCUCUGCUAUCCUCCUGAAACCACAGCCACCUUGACUGCUCCUCUCACAGCUCGGUCUCCUUCCUCAGGGUGGUCCUGGACCCUGUCUGGUUCCCCUUCUUUCUUCUGGUCAGGAAAUGUCCUCUACGCUGGAGGCUGUGGAGAGCAAAGGCUUACCUUAGUGAUUUCCUUCUACUGAGGGUCAUUGUCCUUUGUUUCCUGAAGUUGAUUUGUAUAUUUUUGUCAAUUUAAAAAAAAAUUUUUUUAGGAAGGAAGAUAAAUCCAUAUCUUUUUCUCCAUCUUGGCUGGCUGUAGAAGUCAAGUUUAAGUCUAUUUUGAAAUGUUUUAACAAGUAGAUCUUCAAAUAAGAGUGGGAACUCUUAUUGAGGAUUUGUAUGUUUGGGGCACUAUGUUUAGUUAUGAUUAGUUCAUCUACCAUGUGAGACUAAUAGCAUUAAAUGAAUUUGCAGUUAAAAUAGAAUUUGGGACAGUUUACACAAAGUCAUGCAGCUAAUGAAUGCUAGAGCUGAAAUUUAAAUCUCUCUCUAUUGGCAAAGUCUGAUCUUUUCUUUUUAAAAAUAUCCUCCUACUAGACAUUCAGUACAGAUUUAUGCUAAUGAAUUUGCCUCAUUAAAAGUGUAUUUAAUAGCCUACCACUAAACAGUGUUCUGUUGGAGCCUGUGAGAGGAGCUUGGCUCAUGGUACCUGGUAUCCUGUAUGAUUUUCCUAAUUAAGCCCAAUAUCUCACAUUGAUCCUACAAAAAGAAUCAACAAGACACCAUAGUAUCUCAACCUGAGCAAGUAAAAGUAGUUCAAAACCCACUUCCUACUGAUGGUGGUUUACUAGCAUCAUAUAUAUAUUUAAAAACUUGUACAUAUUGUUUCUAUGGGGAACUUGCAGCUAAGACUCCCAUAUUGGUAAACUUGAGAAUUUUUACUCCAUAACCAAAGUGCAUACUUUUUGUUAGAAUUCAAAAAGUGGCAUGAUAAAUGCUGUAGGUACAAUUUAAGGGAAGAGGAUAUCAAAAUUAUGACUCUUCUAAAAUAUUUUCAGGAUCCAGCAUUUCUGGAUUUAUAAUUCCUUGAGAAGAUAUUUUAUAAAUGAAUGUUCCCUUUCAUGGUAGCAUUGUGCUCUCACUGGGAAAAUAGGGUUUGGCCUUCAGGAGCGACCUAUGCUG